CGGGAACCACCUCGCAACGCUGGGGAGCCGGAAGCGAGCCACAGAGGAAAUGGAGACGCAAGUCCAGCCACUGACCCGCGGCCUGGCCGCUGUCCCGCUGCACGUCGCCAGCCUGCCGGGGCUGCCACCCCACGCCUGACUGAAAGGCCGGCCCCACCACCACUCCCUGCCCAGCUUCCCCGGCCCCGGGAGCCAUUGUUCUCUCCUGAUGAAGCCAAGUCCUCUAGGGACCUCGAGGAAACCAAAAUAAUGUCAAAUGACAAGAGCUUCGCUGAAAAAGAAGACACAAGCAAAGCAGACACCCAACAAAGCAUUAAUGUCCAGAGGGGUAAAGAAUUCCUGAAAUCGCAUUACAGGAGAACUCUGCCUUGUCUUUCUGCUUUGUCCUUAGAAAAAUAUAAAAUUAUUAUUCCACGAGGAGGCAACCAAAAGGAUGAAGCUGAAAAAUGUAGAAAAAGGAAAUCAUACAGGUGCAUGUCAGAGAGUCCUCUGUAACCUGGAUCCACCAGGGCUGGUAGCCUGUUCUCUCUUCCUCACCAAAGGAGUCCUGUUGUUCUCAGGCAGCAGCAUGCCCCCCUUAUUUAUUUAUUUUAAAAUUUCCCAGCCUCCUUGGAAGCCAGGGCUAGCCCCGGGAUACUGUUCUGGCCAACGGGAUAGACGAGGCCUCUGGCGGAGCUUCCAGGAAAGCACUAAAGGAGCUGUCCAGGGGUGUGCCUGUUGCUCUCCCCUUCUUGACUGGAAUAAUGAUGGGAUGCUGGAUGAGAGGCAGGCAUCUCGCCACCUCAAAGAUCCUGUGAGAAAGAAAAUUACAUGCUAAAUAUGAAGGAGUGAAAGAGAGAUACAGGGAAGGACCACAAAUCAUUGAGUUUCUCAAGUGAGACAAAAUGUUUCAUUUAAGCCACUGUACAAUUGUGACUGUACAUUAUCCUUAACUGAUACACAUGUUUCAAAGUACCACAAACUGGGUGCUUAAACAAAAGGGAGUUACUGUCUCA